rnacentral:rRNA from 1 species
CCUACGGGGGGCUGCAGUAGGGAAUAUUGGUCAAUGGGUGAGAGCCUGAACCAGCCAUGCCGCGUGCAGGAAGACGGCCUUCUGGGUUGUAAACUGCUUUUAUCUGGGGAUAAAAAGGCCUUGCGAGGCACAUUGAAGGUACCAGAUGAAUAAGCACCGGCUAACUACGUGCCAGCAGCCGCGGUAAUACGUAGGGUGCAAGCGUUCUCCGGGUUCAUUGGGUGUGAAGGGUGCCUAGUCAGUCUAUUAAGAAAGCCAACAGCUCAACUGGUGAUGUGCCAAUGAUACUGAUGGACUUGAGUACAGACGAGGUAGGCGGAAUUGACAGUGUAGCGGUGAAAUGCAUAGAUAUUGUCAAGAACACCGAUAGCGAAGGCAGCUUGCGAGCCUGUAACUGACGCUGAGGCACGAAAGUAUGGGGAUCAAACAGGAUUAGAUACCCCUGUAGUC